AUACUUACAGGGGCAAGGGAAGCCACCAUGAUCAGGAAGGUGGUUUACUCAGGGUGAGGCUCGGCCAUUGCACUCCGGUUGUGCUGAGUCCUGCGAAUUCCCUGAAUGUGGGAAUCUCGGGUACAUAAUUUAUAGUAAUGGAGGACUGCAUUCAUGCUCUCCCCUG